AUUGAACGCUGGCGGAAUGCUUUACACAUGCAAGUCGAACGGCAGCACGGGGGCAACCCUGGUGGCGAGUGGCGAACGGGUGAGUAAUACAUCGGAACGUGCCCAGUCGUGGGGGAUAACGUAGCGAAAGUUACGCUAAUACCGCAUACGAUCUACGGAUGAAAGCGGGGGACCGUAAGGCCUCGCGCGAUUGGAGCGGCCGAUGUCAGAUUAGGUAGUUGGUGAGGUAAAGGCUCACCAAGCCGACGAUCUGUAGCUGGUCUGAGAGGACGACGCGCCACACUGCGACUGGGACACGGCCCAGAUUGCCACGGGAGGCAGCAGUGGGGAAUUUUGGACAAUGGGCGCAAGCCUGAGCCAGCCAUUCCGCGUGCAGGACGAAGGCCUUCGGGUUGUAAACUGCUUUUGUACGGAACGAAAAGGCUCUGGUUAAUACCUGGGGCUCAUGACGGUACCGUAAGAAUAAGCACCGGCUAACUACGUGCCAGCCGCCGCGGUAA
rnacentral:rRNA from 1 species